CACGGGGGGAGCAAGCGUUGUUCGGAAUCACUGGGCGUAAAGGGCGUGUAGGCGGUCAAGUAAGUGGAAUGUGAAAGCCCCCGGCUUACCCGGGGAUCUGCAUCCCAAACUGCUUGGCUUGAGUACGGGAGAGGAUAGGGGAAUUCCUGGUGUAGCGGUGAAAUGCGUAGAUAUCAGGAGGAACACCGGUGGCGAAGGCGGUUCUCUGGGCAUUACCUGACGCUGAGGAGCGAAAGUGUGGGGAGCGAACAGG
rnacentral:rRNA from 1 species